AGAGUUUGAUCCUGGCUCAGACGAACGCUGGCGGCGUGCUUAACACAUGCAAGUCGAGCGGUAAGGCCCUUUCGGGGGUACACGAGCGGCGAACGGGUGAGUAACACGUGGGUAACCUGCCCUCAGCUCUGGGAUAAGCCCGGGAAACUGGGUCUAAUACCGGAUAUGACUCCGCAUCGCAUGGUGUGGGGUGGAAAGCCUUGUGCGGCUGAGGAUGGGCCCGCGGCCUAUCAGCUUGUUGGCGGGGUAGUGGCCUACCAAGGCGACGACGGGUAGCCGGCCUGAGAGGGCGACCGGCCACACUGGGACUGAGACACGGCCCAGACUCCUACGGGAGGCAGCAGUGGGGAAUAUUGCGCAAUGGGCGAAAGCCUGACGCAGCGACGCCGCGUGAGGGAUGACGGCCUUCGGGUUGUAAACCUCUUUCAGCUCCGACGAAGCCUUCGGGUGACGGUAGGGGCAGAAGAAGCACCGGCCAACUACGUGCCAGCAGCCGCGGUAAUACGUAGGGUGCAAGCGUUGUCCGGAAUUAUUGGGCGUAAAGAGCUCGUAGGCGGUUUGUCGCGUCGACUGUGAAAACUCAGGGGGCUCAACUCCGAGCUUGCANGUUGAUACGGGCAGACUAAGUUCGGGCAGGGGGAGACUGGAAUUCCUGUGUACGGUUGAAAUACGGCAGAUNUC
rnacentral:rRNA from 1 species